rnacentral:rRNA from 1 species
GACGAACGCUGGCGGCGUGCUUAACACAUGCAAGUCGAACGGUGAAGGGGCCUGCUUUUGUGGGUCCUGGAUGAGUGGCGAACGGGUGAGUAACACGUGAGUAACCUGCCCCCUUCUUCUGGAUAACCGCAUGAAAGUGUGGCUAAUACGGGAUAUUCUGGGUCUGUCGCAUGGUGGGCCUGGGAAAGAUUGCGCUUUUUUGGUGUUUUUGGUGGGGGAUGGGCUCGCGGCCUAUCAGCUUGUUGGUGGGGUGAUGGCCUACCAAGGCGGUGACGGGUAGCCGGCCUGAGAGGGUGGACGGUCACACUGGGACUGAGACACGGCCCAGACUCCUACGGGAGGCAGCAGUGGGGAAUAUUGCACAAUGGGCGCAAGCCUGAUGCAGCGACGCCGCGUGAGGGAUGGAGGCCUUCGGGUUGUGAACCUCUUUCGCCAGUGAAGCAGGCCUGCUCCUUUUGUGGGUGGGUUGACGGUAGCUGGAUAAGAAGCGCCGGCUAACUACGUGCCAGCAGCCGCGGUAAUACGUAGGGCGCGAGCGUUGUCCGGAAUUAUUGGGCGUAAAGAGCUCGUAGGCGGCUGGUCGCGUCUGUCGUGAAAUCCUCUGGCUUAACUGGGGGCUUGCGGUGGGUACGGGCCGGCUUGAGUGCGGUAGGGGAGGCUGGAACUCCUGGUGUAGCGGUGGAAUGCGCAGAUAUCAGGAAGAACACCGGUGGCGAAGGCGGGUCUCUGGGCCGUUACUGACGCUGAGGAGCGAAAGCGUGGGGAGCGAACAGGAUUAGAUACCCUGGUAGUCCACGCCGUAAACGUUGGGCACUAGGUGUGGGGGGCCUUUUCCGGGUCUUCCGCGCCGUAGCUAACGCAUUAAGUGCCCCGCCUGGGGAGUACGGCCGCAAGGCUAAAACUCAAAGGAAUUGACGGGGGCCCGCACAAGCGGCGGAGCAUGCGGAUUAAUUCGAUGCAACGCGAAGAACCUUACCAAGGCUUGACAUGUGCCGGUCUGCUCCGGAGACGGGGUUUCCUCCCUUGUGGGGGCUGGUUCACAGGUGGUGCAUGGUUGUCGUCAGCUCGUGUCGUGAGAUGUUGGGUUAAGUCCCGCAACGAGCGCAACCCUUGUCUCGUGUUGCCAGCACGUUGUGGUGGGGACUCGCGGGAGACUGCCGGGGUCAACUCGGAGGAAGGUGGGGAUGACGUCAAAUCAUCAUGCCCCUUAUGUCUUGGGCUUCACGCAUGCUACAAUGGCCGGUACAGAGGGCUGCGAUACCGUGAGGUGGAGCGAAUCCCUUAAAGCCGGUCUCAGUUCGGAUCGGUGUCUGCAACUCGACACCGUGAAGUUGGAGUCGCUAGUAAUCGCAGAUCAGCAACGCUGCGGUGAAUACGUUCUCGGGCCU